GUUCAUCGUAUGUUAGGGAUUUUUUCAUAGAGUCUCAAAUUGAAGAUCUGCAAUCAAUCAAUCAGAUAUGGGGUUUCUACCUAAUCUACUUCCUCAGUGGUGAUGUGAUUGACAGAAUUUUUCUAGCAAACUGUUGCAUAGACAUAAAGCUGUUUGCACUGCAUUUAAUAGCUUCAUUGAGAAAAGAAAGGGCUUUGUGACACUAAGAUGGCAUCACGGUACUGUUUGUCUAACUAGCAAAUCCCCUCCUUUAAAGAGAAAUCCAUGG